rnacentral:misc_RNA from 1 species
GAUGAAGAACGUAGCAAAAUGCGAUAAGUAAUGUGAAUUGCAGAAUUCAGUGAAUCAUCGAAUCUUUGAACGCACAUUGCGCCCGCCAGUAUUCUGGCGGGCAUGCCUGUUCGAGCGUCAUUUCAACCCUCAAGCUCAGCUUGGUGUUGGGACUCGCGGUAACCCGCGUUCCCCAAAUCGAUUGGCGGUCACGUCGAGCUUCCAUAGCGUAGUAAUCAUACACCUCGUUACUGGUAAUCGUCGCGGCCACGCCGUAAAACCCCAACCUCUGAAUGUUGACCUCGGAUCAGGUAGGAAUACCCGCUGAACUUAAGCAUAUCAAUAAGCGGAGGA